rnacentral:rRNA from 1 species
GACGAACGCUGGCGGCGUGCUUAACACAUGCAAGUCGAACGGAGUGGCGAACGGGCGAGUAACACGUGGGUGACCUGCCCUGCACUUCGGGAUAAGCAUGGGAAACAGGGGCUAAUACCGGAGAGUGUGGGAUGGGCGCGCGGCCUAUCAGCUUGUUGGUGGGGUAAUGGCCUACCAAGGCGGCGGCGGGUAGCCGGCCUGAGAGGGUGGACGGACACAUUGGGACUGAGACACGGCCCAGACGCUAACGGGAGGCAGCAGUGGGGAUUAUUGCACAAUGGGCGGAGGCCUGGUGCAGGGACGCCGGGUGGGUGAUGUCGGCUUUCGGGUUGUAAACUCCUUUCACCAUCGACGCGGUAGAUGGAGAAGAAGCACCGGCUAACUACGUGCCAGCAGCCGCGGUAAUUC